GUGCUCACUGCAGCAGCACACAUACUAAAAUUGGACUGAUACACAGAAGAUUAGCAGGCCCCUGUGCAACGAUGACACGCAAAUUUGUGAAACCUCUCAUAUUUAA